UGGGGAAUUUUGGACAAUGGGCGAAAGCCUGAUCCAGCAAUGCCGCGUGUGUGAAGAAGGCCUUCGGGUUGUAAAGCACUUUUGUCCGGAAAGAAAUCCUUGGCUCUAAUACAGUCGGGGGAUGACGGUACCGGAAGAAUAAGCACCGGCUAACUACGUGCCAGCAGCCGCGGUAAUACGUAGGGUGCAAGCGUUAAUCGGAAUUACUGGGCGUAAAGCGUGCGCAGGCGGUUUGCUAAGACCGAUGUGAAAUCCCCGGGCUCAACCUGGGAACUGCAUUGGUGACUGGCAGGCUAGAGUAUGGCAGAGGGGGGUAGAAUUCCACGUGUAGCAGUGAAANUGCGUAGAGAUGUGGAGGAAUACCGAUGGCGAAGGCAGCCCCCUGGGCCAAUACUGACGCUCAUGCACGAAAGCGUGGGGAGCAAACAGGAUUAGAUACCCUGGUAGUCCACGCCCUAAACGAUGUCAACUAGUUGUUGGGGAUUCAUUUCCUUAGUAACGUAGCUAACGCGUGAAGUUGACCGCCUGGGGAGUACGGUCGCAAGAUUAAAACUCAAAGAAUUGACGGGGU
rnacentral:rRNA from 1 species